GGAGGAAGCCCCGGCUAACUACGUGCCAGCAGCCGCGGUAAUACGUAGGGGGCAAGCGUUAUCCGGAAUUAUUGGGCGUAAAGAGUACGUAGGUGGCAACCUAAGCGCAGGGUUUAAGGCAAUGGCUCAACCAUUGUUCGCCCUGCGAACUGGGAUGCUUGAGUGCAGGAGAGGAAAGCGGAAUUCCUAGUGUAGCGGUGAAAUGCGUAGAUAUUAGGAGGAACACCAGUGGCGAAGGCGGCUUUCUGGACUGAAACUGACACUGAGGCACGAAAGCGUGGGGAGCAAACAGGAUUAGAUACCCUUGUAGUCC
rnacentral:rRNA from 1 species